rnacentral:rRNA from 1 species
GACGAACGCUGGCGGCGUGCUUAACACAUGCAAGUGGAGCGACGAACCAGGGCUUGCCCUGGGGCAGAGCCGCGAACGGGUGAGUAACACGUGGGUUACCUGCCCCGAUGACCGGGACAACCCGAGGAAACUCGAGCUAAUACCGGAUGUGGUCUUCGGACGAAAGGAAGCUUCGGCCUCCGCAUCGGGAUGGGCCCGCGGCGCAUUAGCUUGUUGGUGGGGUAACGGCCUACCAAGGCGACGAUGCGUAGCUGGUCUGAGAGGACGAUCAGCCACACUGGGACUGAGACACGGCCCAGACUCCUACGGGAGGCAGCAGUGGGGAAUCUUGCGCAAUGCGCGAAAGCGUGACGCAGCAACGCCGCGUGAGGGAAGACGGCCUUCGGGUUGUAAACCUCUUUCAGUUGGGACGAAGCUUCAGCCGUUAAUAGCGGCUUGGAGUGACGGUACCUUCAGAAGAAGCCCCGGCUAACUACGUGCCAGCCGCCGCCGUAAAAC